AUACGUAGGUGGCAAGCGUUGUCCGGAUUUACUGGGUGUAAAGGGCGUGCAGCCGGGACGGCAAGUCAGAUGUGAAAUCCAUGGGCUUAACCCAUGAACUGCAUUUGAAACUGUCGUUCUUGAGUACCGGAGGGGCAAUCGGAAUUCCUAGUGUAGCGGUGAAAUGCGUAGAUAUUAGGAGGAACACCAGUGGCGAAGGCGGAUUGCUGGACGGAAACUGACGGUGAGGGGCGAAAGUGUGGGGAGCAAACAGGAUUAGAUACCCUGGUAGUCCACACGGUAAACGAUGGAUACUAGGUGUGCGGGGACUGACCCCUGCGUGCCGGCGUUAACACAAUAAGUAUCCCACCUGGGGAGUACGAUCGCAAGGUUGAAACUUAAAGGAAUUGACGGGG
rnacentral:rRNA from 1 species